rnacentral:rRNA from 1 species
AUUGAACGCUGGCGGUAUGCCUUACACAUGCAAGUCGAACGGUAGAGGGGCAACCCUUGAGAGUGGCGAACGGGUGAGUAAUACAUCGGAACGUGCCUAGUCGUGGGGGAUAACGUAGCGAAAAGCUACGCUAAUACCGCAUAUUCUGUGAGCAGGAAAGCAGGGGAUCGCAAGACCUUGCGCUGAUUGAGCGGCCGAUGUCAGAUUAGCUAGUUGGUGAGGUAAAAGGCUCACCAAGGCGACGAUCUGUAGCGGGUCUGAGAGGAUGAUCCGCCACACUGGAACUGAGACACGGUCCAGACUCCUACGGGAGGCAGCAGUGGGGAAUUUUGGACAAUGGGUGCAAGCCUGAUCCAGCCAUGCCGCGUGAGUG